rnacentral:pre_miRNA from 1 species
AGCGCCAUUUUUGGAGCUAUAAACACUCUCACUGUCAUAGCUCUUUGAAUGGUACUGC